CAGUCGCCGCGGUAAUACGAAGGGAGCUAGCGUUGUUCGGAAUUACUGGGCGUAAAGGGCGCGUAGGCGGUUCUGCAAGUUGGAUGUGAAAGCCCUGGGCUCAACCCGGGAACUGCAUUCAAUACUGCAUUACUUGAAUUCGGUAGAAGUUGGUAGAAUUCCCAGUGUAGAGGUGAAAUUCGUAGAUAUUGGGAAGAACACCAGUGGCGAAGGCGGCUCACUGGACCGACACUGACGCUGAGGCGCGAAAGCGUGGGGAGCAAACAGGAUUAGAUACCCGGGUAGUCCCUGUCUCUUAUAC
rnacentral:rRNA from 1 species